AUUGAACGCUGGCGGCAUGCCUUACACAUGCAAGUCGAACGGCAGCACGGGAGCAAUCCUGGUGGCGAGUGGCGAACGGGUGAGUAAUACAUCGGAACGUGCCCAAUCGUGGGGGAUAACGUAGCGAAAGUUACGCUAAUACCGCAUACGAUCUACGGAUGAAAGCGGGGGACCGCAAGGCCUCGCGCGAUUGGAGCGGCCGAUGGCAGAUUAGGUAGUUGGUGGGGUAAAGGCCUACCAAGCCUCCGAUCUGUAGCUGGUCUGAGAGGACGAUCAGCCACACUGGGACUGAGACACGGCCCAGACUCCUACGGGAGGCAGCAGUGGGGAAUUUUGGACAAUGGGCGAAAGCCUGAUCCAGCAAUGCCGCGUGCAGGACGAAGGCCUUCGGGUUGUAAACUGCUUUUGUACGGAGCGAAACGGCUUUCACUAAUACUGGGGGCUAAUGACGGUACCGUAAGAAUAAGCACCGGCUAACUACGUGCCAGCAGCCGCCGUAA
rnacentral:rRNA from 1 species